rnacentral:rRNA from 1 species
GAUGAACGUUGGCGGUGUGCCUAAUACAUGCAAGUCGAACGGAGUUAAUAGCAAUAUUGACUUAGUGGCGAACGGGUGAGUAACGCGUUGGUGAUCUGCCUUGAAGUGUGGAAUAACGCUCCGAAAGGAGCGCUAAUACCGCAUGUGCUCUCAAUUUUUAGAAACUUGAGAGGAAAGGAUUUAUUCGCUUCGAGAGGAGCCUGCGUCCCAUCAGCUGGUUGGUAGGGUAAAGGCCUACCAAGGCAAUGACGGGUAGGGGACCUGAGAGGGUGGCCCCCACAAUGGAACUGAAACACGGUCCAUACACCUACGGGUGGCAGCAGUAGGGAAUAUUAGAAAUGGACGAAAGUCUGAUCUAGCAACACCGCGUGUGCGAAGAAGGCCUUCGGGUCGUAAAGCACUUUUUGGAAGGAAUAGGAAGGAAUGUACUUCCAGAAUAAGUCUCGGCUAACUACGUG